UGACUCAGCCGAGACUUGCCACACAUUUUCGGCUGGUGAUUGGCUCUGUCGGAGUCUGUAUGACAAGGUGAGCGGCUAUGCUAGGUCUGAAUGACAAGGCUAGCGAGACGAGUCUCACAUCGCCUGGUGAUCUUGGGCUGUGUGUGUGACUGGACUGACGAGAACGUCAGGGCCUUAACGGGGGGAGUCUGUCACACCCCAAUAAUCUCACAUCGGAUACGAAUAGGGAUGUGAUUGGAUAUAUAAGAGACUUAUACACUAGUAAUUAUAACUGGGCUUAAGCAUUUUGGAUCGGUGGUUGGGCCUAACGAGUUAUUGUUGCUAGUGGGCUGAGUCGUUACAUUUGGUAUCAGAGCCAAUUACGUGACGAGUCUCGGCUGAGCCCGGGUCUAGAUAACAAGGCUAGCGAGACGAGUCUCACAUCGUCUGGUGAUCUUGGGCAGUGUAUGUGAUUGGACUCGCGAGGACGUCAGGGCCUUAACGAGAGGAGUCUAUCACACCCCAAUAAUCCCACAUACCCCAAUAAUCUCACAUCGAAUAUGAAUGUGUGAUUGGGUAUAUAAGAGAUGUAGACGCUAGUAAUAAUAACUGGGCUUAAGUAUUUUGGGCUGGUGGUUGGGCCCAACGAGUUAUUGUUGCUAGUGGGCUGGGUCGUUACACGCCCGCCCAUGUGUCACGGGUCGAUCGUUGGG
rnacentral:lncRNA from 1 species